CCGGCUGCCUGGCGACGCCGACGAGGCGAUUCGCUCAAGCCCCGAUGGCGACAAGGACACGGGAAACAGCGCCGACGACGGCGACUGCGACGGCCUCUACUGGCUGCUUGAGCUACAGACGUUGGCCAUGCUCGGCCCUCCCCAGCCCGUCAGAUCACUGCUGUUGGACAGGAGUGCCGACGUCGUGACCAGCUGUCCGGGAGCACAGAUAGGAGCCCUCGUCUCCAGGUGGACCCGCGACGACUUAUCGGGACGGUGGAAGAGCUCGGGAAGUCUAAAGACUGCGUGCAAGCCAUGAUGAUUUCCAACGACGCUCUAGCUGGUGUGUCUCAGUAGAAACAGCAGGCACACUCCUUAGACAUGAGUAGCCAGUCAUAAGGGACGGUUGGUUGCGCCCACAGGAACGGGGUGGACGACGGGUGAGGUGGUUGGGGGAAGAUCACAGCCGCCGUUUGAAUUCGGCAUAAAUCUGCAAGUUAUAUAUGGUUGAUCGAGCUGAUACCAUAAAUAUUGAUGGUCUCUCAUACCCGAUCAGAAAUCCGUAGCUUUAUAACACUGAUAUUUUUUCCCGUUGUUAUGACAACGAAAAUAAGAGAGACCCCACGCGCCGUUUAUAGGCGCGCAGAAAGGACGCUUCACGUAAUAAUGUUGAUGCAAUACGUCGAUACAAGGUAUAAUUAUGCGGCUAUACAUGAGCCCCGCUUACGGGCUACGGUUCCACUGUAUAAUAAGUUAAUUAUAAUAAACUCGAAUUAGUAUUAUAAAUAGUCGAAUUUGUAAACAUAAAUAAGAAUAAUUAACUCUUAUUCACGCUGUAUAAAUACGUUUAAUGCACAAAUCAAAAUCAACUUGAACCUUGCAUUCUACGUACACCAACGAGGUGUUAUAUUUGUCGAUUCUUGUAUACCUAGAUAGAUCUUAUCGUAAUUACUAGCUUUAUUAACUCAUAGUCAUAUGAUUCAGCUGCCCGUUUAUGUACUAAUAUUUUUGUUUUUUAGGGGUGGCAGACUUUGAUGACCUGAGGGUCUUUCGCCACCCCAGUGCUAUAUCUAUCACAUUAUAUAUUGUGACCUUUCAUUCUAAUAUGUAUCGUUGUAUACUGAAUGUAAAUAUGUCUUAU